rnacentral:rRNA from 1 species
AACGCGAAGAACCUUACCAGGCCUUGACAUGCAGAGAACUUUCCAGAGAUGGAUUGGUGCCUUCGGGAACUCUGACACAGGUGCUGCAUGGCUGUCGUCAGCUCGUGUCGUGAGAUGUUGGGUUAAGUCCCGUAACGAGCGCAACCCUUGUCCUUAGUUACCAGCACGUUAUGGUGGGCACUCUAAGGAGACUGCCGGUGACAAACCGGAGGAAGGUGGGGAUGACGUCAAGUCAUCAUGGCCCUACGGCCUGGGCUACACACGUGCUACAAUGGUCGGUACAAAGGGUUGCCAAGCCGCGAGGUGGAGCUAAUCCCAUAAAACCGAUCGUAGUCCGGAUCGCAGUCUGCAACUCGACUGCGUGAAGUCGGAAUCGCUAGUAAUCGUGAAUCAGAAUGUCACGGUGAAUACGUUCCCGGGCCUUGUACACACCG